UCCGGUUUGACACCGGCAGUCUCGCUAGAGACCUCAGCAUAACCUGUUAGCAACUAGCGACAAGGGUUUCGCUCGUUAAAGGACUUAACCUAACACCUCACGGCACGAGCUGACGACAGCCAUGCAGCACCUAUCGACGUUCCACGGCAAGCCGCGUCACUACUGUUUCCAGCAGCUAAUCCGCCGUAGUUCAACCCAGGUAAGGUUCUUCGCGUUGCCUCGAAUUAAGCCACAUGCUCCACCGCUUGUGUGAGCCCCCGUCAAUUCCUUUGAGUUUUAGCCUUGCGACCGUACUCCCCAGGCGGUGCACUUAAUGUUUUUACUGCGGCCCGGACGGCGUCAGAGCCGCCCGAACCUAGUGCACAUCGUUUACAGCGUGGACUAC
rnacentral:misc_RNA from 1 species